rnacentral:rRNA from 1 species
UACGGAGGGGGCAAGCGUUGUUCGGAAUUACUGGGCGUAAAGGGCGCGCAGGCGGCUGCUCAAGUCAGACGUGAAAUCCCUCGGCUUAACCGGGGAACUGCGUCUGAUACUGGAUGGCUGGAGUUUGGGAGAGGGAUGCGGAAUUCCAGGUGUAGCGGUGAAAUGCGUAGAUAUCUGGAGGAACACCGGUGGCGAAGGCGGCAUCCUGGACCGGCAUUGACGCUGAGGCGCGAAAGCCAGGGGAAGCAAAGCGGGG